AAGGUACUACCUUCGUUUCAUAAUUCUUGUCUUAAAUUUAUUCAAAAAUGGAUGUAUCUAUUCCUAAAAAGCAUCUAGAUACAUGCAAUAUUUUGACAAGAAUUAUGAAACGGAAGGAGUAUAAA
rfam:Brachypodium distachyon strain Bd21 chromosome 5, whole genome shotgun sequence.